AGCAGCCGCGGUAAUUCCAGCUCCAAUAGCGUAUAUUAAAGUUGUUGCAGUUAAAAAAGCUCGUAGUUGAAUUUCGGGACCAAUAUGUCGGUCGUGCCUCGGUACGUACUGGUGUCAUUGGUUUCUCCCUUCUGAGGAUCCUUGAUGUCAUUAAUUUGGUGUCUUGGGGAAUCAGGACUGUUACCUUGAAAAAAAUUAGAGUGUUUAAAGCAGGCAUACGCUUGAAUACAUUAGCAUGGAAUAAUGAAAUAGGACGUUCGAUUCUAUUUUGUUGGUUUCUAGGAUCGACGUAAUGAUUAAUAGGGAUAGUUGGGGGCAUUAGUAUUCAAUUGUCAGAGGUGAAAUUCUUGGAUUUAUUGAAGACUAACUACUGCGAAAGCAUUUGCCAAGGAUGUUUUCAUUAAUCAAGAACGAAAGUUAGGGGAUCGAAGACGAUCAGAUACCGUCGUAGUCUUAACCAUAAACUAUGCCGACUAGGGAUCGGAUGAUGUUAAUUUUUUAAUGACUCAUUUGGUGUCCG
rnacentral:rRNA from 1 species